AAAGGCUCGUAUGAACUGCGUCUGUAGAGAUGGCUGCUCUGACACAUGUCCAUGCCCUUUGUCUGAACUGUCAUAUAGAGUGGUGGCCCUGAAUAUACUCCUUGUAUGCAUGUCUAAAUGCUGCUGUGUCUUCAGAGCCAGGACACCUGCAGUAUUACUAACAGGUGUCAUUGACUUAUGGAAAAUAAAUGAAAGAAUGUAGCUUCAUGGCCCUCACACUCCGCCUGCAACCCCUUCUUCUUCAACCAACCUCCUACCUGCACGUCUCAUUUUGUGUGUAGCCCACCGAGUUUAGUAAGACUUGCUUGUUUAAAGAUGCACACAUUGAACCCUAGGCAGGAGAGGCUUCCAAAGGCAAGGCAUACAUACUCUCUUGGCUCCCUCAUUUCUCCCUGUUAGCCUACUCUAAAGACCUUCCCUUCUGAAGAAAGCUCCCCAUAUAACACAUCAGCAUUUCAGAGGAUGAAGAUGUCUCCAAGUGCCUCAUGAGAAAGAGUCUUGCUGGAGAAGGAUGCCAUUAUAUCACCGAGGCUGGCCUAGAACAGACAGAGACAUGAGGACCUUCCAGCACACAGCACAUGUAGGCCUUAGACACCUGCUUGCUGCCAAGUCACACAGCCAAGACAUAGGACGUCAUGCAGGGUCCUGCCAGUCGUGUGGCUGGUCUGCAGCAGAAAGCUCCACAAUGUGCAAGCAUGUGGUGGACAGGACUGGUUAUUCAAGGGGAUGAUCUAUCUGUGGAGAUAAGACGACAGUUGAUGGAUUUCUGGCCCCUGGCUGCAGUCGAGGUUGGCUUGAAAUGAGGCUGCCUGGGUGUGUGCACCUGCAGCAAAAGCAGGAGGAAGGAGCCAUGCAAAGAGGACGGCCCUAUGUGGGGAGACGUUUCACUGGUCAUUCUUUACAAAGAAAAUAAAAAUGAGACUUCUUGU